CCUUACGGGUUUAGUGGCGGACGGGUGAGUAACACGUGGGAACGUGCCCUUUGGUUCGGAACAACUCAGGGAAACUUGAGCUAAUACCGGAUAAGCCCUUUUGGGGAAAGAUUUAUCGCCAUUGGAGCGGCCCGCGUCUGAUUAGCUAGUUGGUGAGGUAAAGGCUCACCAAGGCUACGAUCAGUAGCUGGUCUGAGAGGAUGAUCAGCCACACUGGGACUGAGACACGGCCCAG
rnacentral:rRNA from 1 species